rnacentral:rRNA from 1 species
CAGGGAGGCCAUACUGCAGUCGAGCGAGCUUGCCUAGAUGAUUUUAGUGCUUGCACUAAAUGAAACUAGAUACAAGCGAGCGGCGGACGGGUGAGUAACACGUGGGUAACCUGCCCAAGAGACUGGGAUAACACCUGGAAACAGAUGCUAAUACCGGAUAACAACACUAGACGCAUGUCUAGGGUUUGAAAGAUGGUUCUGCUAUCACUCUUGGAUGGACCUGCGGUGCAUUAGCUAGUUGGUAAGGUAACGGCUUACCAAGGCAAUGAUGCAUAGCCGAGUUGAGAGACUGAUCGGCCACAUUGGGACUGAGACACGGCCCAAACUCCUACGGGAGGCAGCAGUAGGGAAUCUUCCACAAUGGACGAAAGUCUGAUGGAGCAACGCCGCGUGAGUGAAGAAGGGUUUCGGCUCGUAAAGCUCUGUUGGUAGUGAAGAAAGAUAGAGGUAGUAACUGGCCUUUAUUUGACGGUAAUUACUUAGAAAGUCACGGCUAACUACGUGCCAGCAGCCGCGGUAAUACGUAGGUGGCAAGCGUUGUCCGGAUUUAUUGGGCGUAAAGCGAGUGCAGGCGGUUCAAUAAGUCUGAUGUGAAAGCCUUCGGCUCAACCGGAGAAUUGCAUCAGAAACUGUUGAACUUGAGUGCAGAAGAGGAGAGUGGAACUCCAUGUGUAGCGGUGGAAUGCGUAGAUAUAUGGAAGAACACCAGUGGCGAAGGCGGCUCUCUGGUCUGCAACUGACGCUGAGGCU